ACCUACGGGGGGCAGCAGUAGGGAAUUUUCGUCAAGGGGCGCAAGCCUGAACGAGCAAUGCCGCGUGAACGAGGAAGGUCUUCGGAUCGUAAAGUUCUGUUGAAGGGGAAAAAGAGCGGAGAGAGGAAAUGGUCUCCGAUUGAUAUUACCCUUCGAGGAAGUCACGGCUAACUACGUGCCAGCAGCCGCGGUAAUACGUAGGUGGCGAGCGUUAUCCGGAAUGAUUGGGCGUAAAGGGUGCGUAGGCGGCCUGCUAAGUCUGGAGUGAAAGGUACCGGCUCAACCGGUACAGGCUCUGGAAACUG
rnacentral:rRNA from 1 species